rnacentral:rRNA from 1 species
GACAUCCAGCGAACUUGGCAGAGAUGCCUUGGUGCCUUCGGGAACGCUGAGACAGGUGCUGCAUGGCUGUCGUCAGCUCGUGUUGUGAAAUGUUGGGUUAAGUCCGCAACGAGCGCAACCCUUUAUCCUUUGUUGCCAGCGAUUCGGUCGGGAACUCAAAGGAGACUGCCGGUGAUAAACCGGAGGAAGGUGGGGAUGACGUCAAGUCAUCAUGGCCCUUACGAGUAGGGCUACACACGUGCUACAAUGGCGCAUACAAAGAGAAGCGACCUCGCGAGAGCAAACGGACCUCAUAAAGUGCGUCGUAGUCCGGAUCGGAGUCUGCAACUCGACUCCGUGAAGUCGGAAUCGCUAGUAAUCGUGGAUCAGAAUGCCACGGUGAAUACGUUCCCGGGCCUUGUACACACCGCCCGUCACACCAUGGGAGUGGGUUGCAAAAGAAGUAGGUAGCUUAACCCUCGGGAGGGCGCUUACCACUUUGUGAUUCAUGACUGGGGUGAAGUCGUAACAAGGUAAGCGUAGUGCU